CCUCCGCCAGGCGGGCCUCGGGACAUUAGCGGUCCAGGACAGGACGUCCUCCAGAUGUGGCACUCUGACGACCAGUCUGAGCCGGUGGGACACACGAAUUCGCGUUCUCUCUGAUCCCAGAGCCCGGGCAGAGAGACCAAGAGACCCUCCCAGGUCCAUCACCACACCACUCGGAUCUUCUCCACCCAGACACAGAUCUGUAGGUGGACCAAAGUCAGGAGCCGUCUGUGUCUCUAAGAAGCACACCUCGCCACAGAUGGUCCUUAGGGGGAAAGGAUGGAGAACGGAUGUAAGAAAAUGGACUGGAACAAGCUGGAGCCACCCUUCUACUACCUGAACAUAGAAUAGUGCUGCUCUCUGUGCUUGGAGGAGCUGCUCUCUGUGAAGGGUGGAGGGUGGUGGCUAAUACACAGGCUGAACCGAAGAGUUGAGAAUAAAUGACCGUGUGCUCAGCCCUCAAUACUGAAUGUGACAUUCAUAUCACCAACCCCCGCCACAUGGCUCAGGGAACAUCAAGCGAGAGGGGUCAGAAAGAAGGGAAGAGCCGGAGGAUAGGGGAGGGUCAGUGUCUCACAGCAGCCGUGGUGACCAGCACAAGAACUUACUACCUGGCCAAAGAUGGUCUUGGGCCAUAGAAAUGAUUCUAGCAAUGCUGCUUGCUUAGGGUGGGCAGAGAGGUGGGUGUCUAGGCCAAGUUGGUAGACUGGGCUUGUGUCUCAGCCCCGGGGAGCCAGAGACAAAGGAUCCUGGGGCCCACAGGCCAGGAGGCAGAGGCAGGCAGAGCUCUGAGUUCGAGGCCAGACUGGUCUACAGAGCAAGUCCCAGGACAGUCAGGGCAAUAUAGAGAGUCCCUCUCUCCUAAACAAACAAAACAAAACAAAACAAAACAACCCAAAGUGAUCCCAGUGUGGUGGCACCACAAAGGCCUGCAUGCCGCCAUGCUCCUUGCAUGUUGAUAAUGGACUGAACCUCUGAAACUCUAAGUGAGCCACCCCAAUUAAAUGUUUCCAUUUAUAAGAGUUGCUGUGUUCAUGGUAUCUCUUUACAGUAAUAAAAACCCCAGCUAUGAUGAA